AUGAAGUGAUCUAUUUUACAGAGGAACUAUUCUUGUACAUCAAAAAUCCAAGUGGAUUUGGAUAGAAGUGUGUAUUUCGGUUGUGGAAACUGUAUCUGAUGUCGACACUGUCUUUAUUUGAUCUGACGUAUUUAAAUAAGCGAUUAAAAUACCGAGAAUAAACGAGCCAAAACCAACAACAACAAAAAGGAAGUUUAUUUGCGUGCGUUAAAAAAUUCUUCCCUGCGUUUUUGUGUCUGUGUCUGUGGUGCGCACGGUUACGCACAGAUUCUGACGAACACCUCGCUGUAACCUUCCCACUCUGGUGCUGCGGUGAACAGUUCCAGCUCACGUGUGAGGGACGAGCAGCGUGGAUCAGCUCAAAGCUGCGUGUUUUCAUACACACGCGUGCGUUUUUGUUUUUGGAGGCGCAACUGUGCCAGAGGUGGAAGGGAGAGCUAGAAAGUCCCGUUUGUGGAUGGAGGGAGACGGCAGAGAAGGGGGAGACUUGUUGCAUGUGGUGACAGUGGUGACACACACUCUGAAGCACACACUCUGAUACACACUGAACGACGCACACGCAAUCCGUUGGACAGGAAUCAGACCGACCUCGGCGCCUGUUGCCUCUGCUGAGUCUGUGUGAGACACUCACCAGUCACUGCCUGAAGCAGUAAUCGGACAACUCUCUUUCUCACUAGGACUGUGUCUCCUGAGAUAACGCACAGGGCUCCAUGGCUUCCACCACCUAAAAUGAAAAAGAAAAAGUAGACUUGUAGUUUUUCCACUUUUCCUCCGCUGCACACUCUGCCGUCCCGUACAGAGCUGCUUUUAACAGAGACUUUCUGCUGUCCCUUGUGCCGGACUGAAGAAUUUGUAUGAAGAUUAUUUUUAAAAAGACAAGCAGUCAGACGGGAUAAACACACUGGGACUCAACCAUUAUUGUAGUGAGUAUUUCUCAAAAUGUGAAUUUUUGGUUUUAUCUGUGUGUAACAUGUUCCCAUUUGUGGUUGUCUUUGUGUGUAAAUGUGUUUUUGGAGUGUGUCAGUCAGUGUUUUGUGUGUGUAGAAAUAUAUUUAAUCAUGUAGUGGCGCGUCAGAUUUUAAUACAUUUCACAGAAUAUUUAUGUUAAAAAUGUAAUUACCACACGUAACAUGUCAUUAAUGUCAGUCAUUUACAAAACCUUCCUAUUAUAACAAAAACUGGUAAAAACUAAACAGGACUCAUUCAGAAAUAAUAACAGCUAAAUAUGAAGGUUUUAAAUCUGGAGAUGACAAAUAUAAUUUUAAAAAAUCCACUUGCAAAAAAUAUAAAUGUUGGUGA